rnacentral:rRNA from 1 species
UGUUAGUGGCAGUACGGGUGAGUAAUGCGUAGGAAUCUACCUAGUAGUACGGAAUAGCUCAUUAGCAAAUGGUGGGUAAUACUGUAUAAUCCCCGAGGGGGAAAGAUUUAUCGCUAUUAGAUGAGCCUACGUUAGAUUAGCUAGUUGGUCGAGGUAAUGGCUUACCAAGGCUAUGAUCUAUAGCUGGUCUGAGAGGACGAUCANCCACACUGGAACUGAGAUACGGUCCAGACUCCUACGGGAGGCAGCAGUGGGGAAUAUUGGACAAUGGGCGAAAGCCUGAUCCAGCUAUGCCGCGUGAGUGAAGAAGGCCUUCGGGUUGUAAAACUCCUUC